AUUCAAUGCACUUGAACACGAAAAUAGAGGGCACACCCUCUUAAGAUAAUGUGGGAUCUACAAGGUAAAUUCGCGGGUGGAUUGCAUAUGUUGUGAGAGGGUGUGCCAUUUUCAUGUGCAAAGGAUGUACUGUAGAAUUUCCUGACAGAUAAUGAGAACCACAAAAUAACCCAUAUAAACAAGACUAUUGUUCAAAGGGGACAGCUGUGCAUGCAUGUUAGCAGUAUACCCUGAACUGUUCAGAUAAGCCAAAAAAUGAAUGAUUUUAUCAUUUUUCAUAGCAA
rnacentral:misc_RNA from 1 species